CUCUGUUUUAACCUGAUGUUUCUUUUUCUCUUGGAGAUAGCGAAACCAGGUGAUGAGUUUGGAUUAAAUUUUCUCACGACGGUCGUCUGAGACACAAUGUGUCGCCUUUGAUGCAUCGAUCCAAUACUUCUCUGAUGGUUUCUUGUUUACUUGUUUGUUCAUUUACCCUUUUUGUUGUCAUUGAACACAUGAUGUUGGAGCGAGCAUGGUGAUGAUGAACUUAAGAUCUUCCGAUUGAUUCGUCAUGACAGGAAAAUAAUACCUCCUACUCAUUCUGAAUGCUCCUCCUCCAUGUCUCCUGUGUUCAAUCUUGAUUGGAUUUUGGCUUUCUUGAAUCUUGAUUAGGUAGGGUUUUGUUGAUACAAAUAUGCUUUUUCUUGUUAUUUUAAUCAGUUUUGAGAGAUUAGGUUUUAUAUUUGGAACGGGCACUAUGAGGAUAAGUAUCCUUAAUCCAGAAUUACAGGUUGAAAUCCUGUAUGAUUUUUUAUUUCUUUUAAAACUAGUCCUUUUCAUUCUGAGUGCCACAGUUACGAACUCUUAGCCUUUUUUUUUUUUUUUGAAAAUACUGUUUUGAUUCGUUUUGAGGGUUAGUCGAUCUUCUCUGGUUUCUUUUAAUGUUUCAGGAUAUUUGUUUUUUUAACAAUUUUUCCAAUCUUCAUUUUAACGAUUAUGUAUUCUCUGAUUCCUGAAAUUGUGCAAAGACACCUGUGACAAUUGAUUUUUGUUGUUUCGGGUUGAAUUAGAAUCCGCAAAUUUUUAUGAAACAAAUCAUCUUCGUUUCUGAAGAAUUGAUCUUCUAAAUCUAAGAUGGAAAAAAAUAUAUAUAAAAGAGAAAUUAUCAAGAGAUGGAGCUUGAUUUAAGGUGUCCAAUUCUAAGAAAUCACUUGUUACUACAUAUACACCCUGGGGCAAUCAAUUUUCUUGAGAAUUCUCAAUGACCUAAUAUUUAAUAUAUACCACAUAGUCUCAGUCGAGCGCCCAAGCCUGCAACAUUCGAUUAAAUGGCAGUUAGCAAUGAAGGCAAUAUCACAAUUGACAAUUCUCUAAAUAUUUUUUUAGGGAUGUCUUUGUGUACAAACCUGGAUCUUGCCAUCAAGGAAACCAGCAAAAAGCAUUUCUCCAUCUGUAUCUGAUGCCAAGGAUGCAAUCUUCGCAUGUCCAUGACCACCGAUUUUAAUGGAAGCUACUCUUGUCACUGUUUCCUUAAACCACACCUCAAUGAUCCCAGAUUUACUGGCAGUGAAUAUAAAGUCACUAUUCACAGCUAAGCGCUGGAUGUCCAAUCCAGUCAAGAAAGACCCAGUUAAGGCCUUGGUCGAGAGGGAGAACACCUUCAAAAUCCAAAUUUGUUUCAUUAGAACAUGAAAUUGAUCAUCUUAGUCACUGAAUUUGUCCAAAUGUCAACAUUUCCAGAGAAGCAUAGUACCUUCCCUGCAGUUCCAUCCACUGAGGAACCGCCAGCAUAGAGUAAACCAUCAUGAAUCCGCAAGGAAUAUAUUGUUUGUUUACCAAGCAAUUUUCUUGCACCAGAGUAAAAUGUAUUUGUAGUGGAUUUACACAAAUCAACCUCCUGCCAUUUUCCCCAAAUUUUCAAUAUUAUGGUAUAUGUGUUAGACUAGAUUCCGUCUGAGUUAUAUUUGUUUGAUGAAAACGAGAGCCAAAGUCAAAUCAACCAGAUGUGUUUACCUGGAUGCUGUAACCAGUGCAACCGCAAUACAGUCUAUCCUCUGCCAUGUCAAGGCUCUUGACAUUUUUGUUAAAGUUUAUAUGUUUUGGAACCCCAGACCAACUGUAGACCUGCAAUAAAAGGAUCUUGUUAGGUACCAUCUAUGUUUUUUUUAUCAAUUGCCCAGAUGGGAGAUAAGUUACAUUGACUCCAGUUCCUUGAGAAGAGAAGCAUGCAAAACUGGCAUUAGCUGUCAACUGGUAUACCGCCUCCUUCACAUCAUGAACCUGAACACAGUGAAUUUCUUCUGGUUUGACCGUCCAGACCUGUGCAUCAACAACUAAGCAACUGCUUAUGAUGCUUCAAAAAAUGGUUCAAAAUACUUGAAAUUAUGGAUACAAGGCAGCUUGGAGAGUCCACAAUGAUGUAGUUUAGUAGUAAGUGAAAAGGCAGCAAAAAGAAUGAUUCAUCCUAGCUGUUGGGUUAAUCGCUACAUUAUUCAAUGAGGAUCACUCUAAGCUAGCGUCACCUUGUUAUCGAAUCGACUAAUGGGAAGCCAGUAAUACUUUAUAUGAAAGUCAACACAUACCCAGCUUAAAGGUUACUUAGAGUGCAUUUGGUUUUUAAAAAAAAAAACAAAUUAUGUUUGGCAAAAUUUAAAAAACACUUUUAAGAAGUUGAAAUAUUAAUUAUAAUACUUCAUUGAAAAGCAUUUGAUUGGUGAUUUUCUUAAAACAUGUUCAGAGAAAACAUUUUUAGUAAAAGCACUUAAAAUGAAAACCCCACCAAACAUAUUCUUAAUAUUUGAUCAUAUGCAAAAGGAUUUAAGGGUAUCUCUCCAAACAUUGGCAAGUCAAUCUUGUGUGACUUUCCCAAUUGAGAUUGGCAAGCUAUAUUGCAAUUUUGAGAAAACUUACCCGAAUUGUUUUGUCUAAGGAACCACUAUAUAACUUGUCACUUGAAGAUGAGGCAUAGAGGCAUGUGACAGCCUUUGUGUGUUCACGAACUUCUUGAAUCAACCUUAAGUCUCUCUUCCCAGCAUCCCAUACCUAAUGUGCAAGAUGAAAGGAACUCUUGUGGGAUCAUGUUGUUUGUCCAUGUGUGUGCACGAUGAGUGGAGAGAUAGAGGGAGAUGCAUGCAAGCGUGGUUUUUGAAGUUCAAACCUUUAUAGUUCCAUCAGAAUGGCCGCUCAGAACCCAACUUUUUAGAGGAAGCAAAGACAGAAUCCCACCGUUUGAGCAUGAAUCUAGCUCAACCACUUCAUCACAACACCACAACUCUGUCUGAAACACAGGAAAUAUUAGGAGAAAAUAAUCAUCCAUGUAUAACACAACUUGAAAUUAAGGGAUGCAUGGUCCAUUACUCACUGGAUCAACAGAAGGCAGCUUUAUCAAGGCUUUUAGCAUGUCACUUACAACCACUGAAUUCUUUUUAAGCUUUCUCAAGGUUUUAUACAUGCACUUGGCAUAUGCUCCCAGUUCUUCUAAUGCACCUUAAAAUUUGAAAUUUCGAGUUAACAAUUGUAUAGAUAGAUACAUUCAAAAGGUUUUUGUAUGAUUAUUAAGUUCUCCGUUAGCAAAAUUACCUGGAUCAUUAAGGAAGCAAUUCAAAGCAAGGGUUGCCAAAAUCUUCUCCUCAAGAUUCUUUGAUGAUUGGAGGACAUUGAUGAAUGGCUCGAGGAAUGACUUGUGAGCAACAUUUCUUACACCAGUGUCAGGAAGAUGAUAAAGCAUGUAUGUAAGCCAUGUGGCAACAACAAGGCAUGACUUUGCUAUCUCUAAAGAAUUACUCUUCAGGCAUUCCUCCAAGGCUUUAAAGAUGGAUCCUUUUUCAUGGUUGCAAAGAACAAAAACUACUCUUUUUUGCCAAGAAGUGACAGCUUUCUCUUCCUCUUCCUGUAUAUAAAUAUUUAGAAUUCAAGAUCGAUGCAGAGAGAAGGAAAAACAUAAAGAGCAACAAGCUCCAAAACAACCCAAACUACAUCAAUGCUAACCGUUGUCUCUGUCAGUUCAUUUUCAUAUAUUUUCAGCCUCUCCGACUUCAUUAAAGCAUGGUAAGGUUGAUCAUAUCCUGCGAUCUUGAGUAACCAGGCUUCAGUGUAGGACUUCCCUGAGGUAGUCAGAUGUCCAGAAAGAGAUAAUAAAGCAUCUAGAGCCAUGAUUUGAGAAUGAGGAAAGUCUUUUUUGUGAAGUGCUUCAACUAGUGCCUCUAUAGCUUCUUCCCUGUAAAUGCUCAUCUUUCGAGGCUCAACCUGGAGAAGUAAAAUUAUAGGAAUCUGUGACUACAUCAUCUAGCCAUUAUGUUGAACUAAUUUGUUUCCAAUUUUCAAGUAUUGUCGUUGUUUAAAAAGAAAGGAGAGAAAGAAAGAAAGAAAGAAAGAAAUCUAGGCAAACCAGAAGAUCAAGCUGAAGAAGAAGAGAAGCAAUUGCAGGUUGCUGCUCCAUGGGGGCCAUUUGUAGAUACACAAGAAAUGUGUGCAUGGUACUAAAAGCUCCUUCAUCUUUAAUUAUCUUCAAGAUCUGGUUGCAGAAUAUCCUCCUGAGACACCAUAAGAAGAGUAAACUCUUGGAUAGAAUGGAAUACCAUUACACAUUUAUGGACUUAAGAGAGAUUUUCACAAAAGGUCCUAGUGUGCAAAAAUGAUCUGAUACAGAUAGUGUGAUAAGUAAUCUCUAAGAGUCCUCAGAAGAAAUUCAAGAUCCACCCAAAACAGGAGAAAAGACACAUGGUCAAAGUACAUUGUAUAUCAAUAAUUUGGUUUCAAAUGAGAGUACAUUUAUAAAUGUAAUUAGAACGAUGUGGUUGGAAUAUAGCUAUUAAUAGUUAAUAUCAAAAACCUACCUUUAGAAAAUAAAUUAUGAAACUAGUGCAGCCUGAAACUCAAUUCAAAUUCAAUUGUUGAGACAUGAGUCAACUUGUAAGCUAGGGUAAGUGAAAUCAAGAUGUUAAGAGUUAGCUUAGAAGCUAGAGCACCUUAAAUCAAAACUUGAGCCAAGUUGAUAGACCAGUCUUUUGCAAUCAUUACACCCCUCAAAAAAGCAAAGGAAUAAUAUGAAGUAAUCAAGGGACUUCCAAGCUACUUAGGAUACUUUCCAUAGAGAAAAUAAAGAUAUAGUUCUCAAAGUAAAAGAUAUGUAUACCUGUUUAACUGAACUAGCUCAGAGAGAAACUUUGUGCAUAUGCCUCUAACAUAAUCAUCUCCAGUAUGAAAUAAUUCAAGCACGGAAGACAGAUCGAUUCUAUUUGCUAUCAAAUUCCUGCAACUUCUAUCUGCAUGGAUACAACAUAAAAGGAUGGAUACGAUGGCCUGCCUUCCUUCUACCUUAUCCAAACACUUGAUUAAUGCAGGAAUCCCGUUUGCAGAGAUAACACUCAUAGCAUUGAGGGAUCUGCUGUUUUCAUCCCCUCCCAUCAAAAUCUGCUCAAGCAAUGCUAUAGCAGCAUCCUUGGGCUCCAUUACUAACAGAAGAUUAUCCGAUUCGUCAUUUUUGUUCAGAAUUAGGUGUACUAGAGAGGGUAUAAAGUUGCGAGCUGAAAGCUGAGUGAAUGCUGGCCUCAGCUGGUAUAUAAGAACAGCAGCCUCUGCAAGACCUUUCUUUAGUAGAGCAGCCAGACAAUCAAAAUCAGAAUCUACAUUGGUAAGAGUCUCUCCCACACUUUCAUCAGCAAAUAUUAGCACAGAAAGAAUGUGAAUUGAUGUUCUGAGAACUUCUCUGUUCAUGGAAGCUGAUAGUAUUUCCACAAGCCCAUUCACAAUUGUUGGUUCGGACAAAUAAGAAUGAAUUCCCGGAUCAGCCUUUGAGUCUUUCCACAUCUUGGCUAUUGCCAGCACAGCUGCUUCACACUCUUGUAAAUCAUCUGAAUUACAGAGACACAAAACAUAGGGUUUUAACCCAUUGAUAACCGCUUCAGUAGCAGCUUGAGAUAUCACACUGGUUGGUGAAGUAGAUACCACUGUUUGCAUAAAUCUUUUGCACUUCUGAUUAGUACAAUCAUCUGACUUCUUAUGGUCGGGGGGAUUACAUGAUGGAGAAGAUGCCAACAUAAUUUCUUUUGUGGACGGGGGGCUGAAUGAGUUUCUUGGUGUUUCAGGGUAAGAGAACUCCUGAGCAACAUCAGGAUAUUGUUCUUUCCAAGUAGUGAUUAAUCUCUUCAAAACAUAGUUUGUUUUGGGCAGUGAGCUGGCAGAUAGAGGUUGCCGUGUAAUGGGACAUGUUGUGUUUCCUCUUUUCAGCCAUUCUUGAAUUGCUUUUCUUUCAUAUGUUUGACCUGUUUCAAGGGUAACUGCAUCACUAAAAAUCUGCCCUGUGAUGGGGCAGACAAAAUCUUUAGGCGGCCUUGACCUAGGAGUCAGUUUAUCAGAUAAUGGGAGAGAAAUGCAGCUCUGGCUUCCUUCAUCAUUUUCAUUAAGGGAGCUGCAGAAAGCCAAAGAAAUUUUAACUUAAUAUGAGAGAGCAAUGGUUUUCUUGUAAUAGACCAUUGUUGGAGAAAUUUUGGAUGAUGGUACAACGGGAAGAGAAGACAAACUGUAUAAAUUCCUGAAAAAUGGAAAAGAAAAAAAAAUUUGGUUACCUAUUUUCUGAUACUUGUCUAUUCAGAUUUUGAUGACUGAUACUUUGAUUGUGUCCAUGGUUUUUCCUGCAGCUUCUUGGUAGCUCCUGAAUCACAAAUCUACUUUCAGUUAAACUAAUGUCUAACAUUAUGAGUUCAAAUAAUACAAAUGGAUGAUGAAAAUUUAAAUAGAGAGAGAGAGAGAGAGAGAGAGAGAGAGACAUACAAUCACUUCACCAUCUGAGUCUGCUGAGCUAAUGCUGGAAUCUUUAUACAAACGUGGAGACACAGGCAAGGAGGUGGAGACAGUGGAAUCCAUGGCACGGCUGGAUAAGAGGCGCAAUACGGAUGUGGGACCUUUAUGACAAUGCGAGUCUGAUUUUGGAGAUGAAAUCUUUAGAGAAGUUUUAGGGGAGUCCGUGGAAGAAAAACUUGUCGAAGAAGGUAGUUGACUCCUAAUUUUUGGUGGCUGUACUUUUGGCCCCAUUUCCUUAUAAAUGUUCAUUUUCAUGCUACUAUGAGAUACUACUUGAUAUGUUUUGUCCUCAGAAUCCAUAUAAGCACUAUCAGGCUCAUAAUCUGAAUUAUCUUCAUUUUCCUCAAUCGUUUCCUCCUAAUAAUAAGAACCAUUAAGAAAGCUUUUGUUAUUCCAAAAAACAAUGUUCUGAGAGGAACAUGAAACAACAAAUAAUUAUGCAUUUAUUGGUCAAGCUUGUAAAUAGCCAUGUGAAUGCAAUGAUUCAGUUAUCAGCCUUACUUGAAGGUCCCACAUAACAGACUCCUCCAGGUUCUGUGAGGAUUUGGAAGUGACAUUCAAUCUGCUUGAAGCCAAAUGUCCAGAAGAAUACAUAUAUGAGAGCCUUUAUUAAAUGAGAACUUGAUUUUACUUUUAUAAAAUCAGCACCAAAAUAACGAACCGCUCAACUAAAAGUUUCCAUGAUGAAAAGAAAACUUCAAAUCAAUUACAAGUGGAAACUAACCUGCAAGCUUCUCUUGCAUUGUCCUUAGCUUUAAGAAUUAGAGAAAACCCAGCACUCUUAGGUAGAAUGGGCCCAAAUUUUACAUAAUCGGGAAUUGACCUGCUGACCUCAUGCAUUGGAGUCAUUGGUGGCUCUGCAAUUGGCAACAUCGGAAUCGCUCUCUUGCUAGUGUUUGAAUCAAAGUUCAAGCAAUCCAUAUAAUAUUUUGAAUAAAGCCGUGUAUUCUCAUCCAAUGAUUCUCCAUAAAGUUGCUCCAGCUUUUGCAUUUUCUCUGCUUGAUCAGGCCUCAUGGAAAAGAUCAGGGACUCAUUAAAGAAUUGAUCGAAAUCUGCAGUAAAGGACAAAUCAGUGGAAUCAGGAAUCACUUCCAUCACAAUCCUGUGCCUUGCUUCUGAAUACCACCCAACAAUUGAACUCAUAUGUGGAAGAAACAGAGCUUUCCAGAGCUCUGGAGCAAAAUCAAUCCGUGAGAAGAAAGGAUCAACAAUAAACAUCUCGAGAAUGUGAAGAACUGAAUUGUGAACAUUGUCCCGCAGUCUCCACAGGUAAGAAAGGUUGAGAUGGGCCCAAGCAGAGAGGUAGAAAUUGGGGACUCCUGCAGUUCUCUGGUCAGAGUUCAACAUUGCACAUACUUGUAACAUUUUUUCUGCAUGGUCUAAUCGUGCAAGCUUAGUUUCCAUGUUGGAGGUAUUGAUAGCUUCUUCAAGGGCAUCAAUCCCCCAAUCCAAAUUUGCCAAUACUGCUUGAUCAGAGUAUCGAACUUCUGUGUCUUUCUCACAGCUUCCAUCUUCAGCUGCUAAUCUCUCUGCACACUGUUCUUUGUGUUGGGCUCUCUGUUCUUUAUUGAUCAACUGAUCUUGGAUGAAACUUCCAACCGUGGUGACCAGGAAUCUAACGAUAUCCUUUUGGUCCAUUGCAAACCUGUAGUUUCCAGCCAUCUUUGGGAAGACAAAGCCAAAAUAACAAAUUCUUAGUUAAUUUUCAAACUUCUGAUUUCUAACGCUAGUCAUCUAAUAUUCCCCACUUUCAAUUACAGGAAGUGGAAUAUUGGCUUACCAAGUAUGGUUUCUGGGGCAUAACUUUCGUCCAUAAUAUAUGAAUUUAUAGCUAAUUACUGGAUAAUUGAAUAUGCAUUUCUCAAACACAAACCAAAUUUAAUCCCAACUCAGUAUACUGAGUGGUGGACAGUCAAAUUAUUGAUUUGAUUCCAACUCAUAGUAGCCGACCACAACACAAAUAGUAACCAAAUUUCUCGAAGACGACUGUAAAUACAAUCCUCGCUUUCAGCAGACUGACAAAAGAAGUAUAGAAAAACGAUAUCCCAAAACUAAGCCAAAUACUCUCCCAAUUUUGAAAACCUCUACAUUCAGAAAUUUAAAAUUCUUUUAUUUUCCCACAUUUUCUCAGCAACCAAAUGGAGCAUGAGAGAAGAGGAUAAAAAUAAAACCCUAGCCUCUGCGUAGAAUAAACAACUCUGUGAGAAAACAUCAAGAAAGAAAACUGCAUAAUCACAUCAAUUCAAAAAGGGAAACAAAACAUUAAAUCAAUUCAAAUAAAAAUUUUAAAAUUCUUUUCAAGUAAAUAUCAAGAUUUUCUCAAACACCAAAGCCCUUGAAACCACAUCAAAACACAGAGACAUAGCAAAUCUAUAUGGUCAAAAAGCACAGAAACUGAGUGCAAGUCGCUGAGCAUUUUUAUCUUAAAAAAAAUAAACAGAUCCUUCAUCUUCCCUUGCAACACAGACGAGCAAAAGAUCAUAAAGACAGAAACAGACUGAAUCGCACAGUGACUGAAAGAGCGGAGAACGAUGCUUACUGUAAUCUCGUAAUGGGAGAUGGAUGAUCAAUCAGCCACCUACUCAUCAGUCUCUCCAGAAUACUCCAUUGAGAUUCAAAAUGGAGAGUGAACUCUCUUUUUGAAUUGAAUUGUAGAGAGAGAGGACGGCUUUUGGUUUUGGAUUGAAGGAGCAUGGCCGGCUUUGGAUGUUGCCAUGUCCAAGCAAACCGUGGACUGAAAAUAAAUUUUUUAAUACUCCCUCCCUCAUUUGAAUAAUCCAUUAAUAACGGAGGGAGGAGCAUUGCGCUUUUUUGGCCAAGUCUUCUCAAUUGUUUCAACUCCAAACAAAUCACAUCGGUUAAAAUUCAAAAAUGACCAAUUUUCCACCUUCCUUCGCCUUGCCUUCACUUUCAUUUGGCGGGAAGCAUACCCGUCAUUACUACAUCCCAUUGUUGGGCACCCCCUUCCUUAGUGUUUCUAUAUAUAUAUAUAUAUAUAUAUAUAUAUAUAUAUAUAUAUAUAUAUUAUGUAAUAAAUAAAUUCACGUACCUUUACCGGUAAAAUUGUUUUUUUUUUUUUUUUUUUAACAAAUUAAGGUGAUGUUUGUAGUAUUUUAUUUCUAUUAAGUAUUAAAAAGUAAAAAAAAAUUAAUAUAUUAUUUUUUCUAUUAAAAAACAACAACAUAUUUUAGUUUUUUAUACUUAAUAAAAAAUUUAUAAUAAAUUAUAAAAAAAAAUAGAAAAACAAACAACUUUAAUCCUGAAAACAAAUUACUUUCAGUAAAAAACCAAAAAAACAAAUACCACCUAAAUGUUUGAUAAACAAAUUAAUACUUUAAAAAAUAAUUUAAUAACUUACAUAAAUUAAUAUAUUUCAUAAAAUAACUUAAUAAUAUGACUUAAAAUAAAAAAUAAUUUUAAAUAAUAAAUAAAAUCAAUUAAAUUAUUUUUAACCUCAUAUUUUUAUUUUAUCUUUUUACUUUUAUUUAUCUUAAUUGCCUUUACGAUCUCCUUUGUUACUUUACUUAUAAUAAUAAUUAAGUAAUAAAUUUUAAAUUAAUAAUUUAAUUAUAAUUUAACUUAAAAUCAAUUUAAUUUCUUAAAUAAUAAAUAUUAAGUUUUACUUAAACCUCACGUUUUUUUUACCUCUUAAUUAUUUUAAUCAAAAUAUCUACGUUCCAUUUUGAGUAAAUAUAAAAGCAGCCGUCUAGUCAAAUCUAUGUAGCAGAUCUCACCACGCCAAGAUUAUAUAUAUAUAUAUAUAUCCACAGAGUCAUUCCUACUACCUCGAAAUUGUCCUUUUCUCUUUGUUCUUAAUGCUUAUUUAGGACAAAAUGUCGUUCUCAACUAAGAAUAUAUACGUAUUUUCUAGUAGCUAUGACAAAAUAACUUCAAGCUGCAUUUGAAUUUGUCAAAGUACCAUAGGAUUUCACCAAGAAUCAAGCUUCCAGCCUUCCACCCUCUAGUCUCUACACGCCACAGCAAUAGCACCUUUUCUUCAUCGUUGUCCACUACUAGUCUAGUUGUAAAAAUGAGGAAUCAUCGUAGUGGGCCUCGUAUUCAGGCUUAAGUUUUUAGCUGGGCCCAUAUUAUGCAAAGCCCAGUAUUGGGCCGUUUAAGUUUGGGCAGUGCAAAGGCCGUCCAUAUAGAGAGGAGAGGGAUAGCCGACGCAGGAGUUGCGGUGUGGGCCAUGAUAAUGGCCGAGUUAAAGGCGCCAUUAGCGUAAUGGCAGACCGCUGGAUAUCACUCAAUAUCGAAUUUGACGUCCAACAGUGAUAUAAAUUCGAAAGAAGCAGGAAGUUGCUUAAGAAUUUUAUGCAGGGCAAGUGUAUGUCUCAUGGAUGCGAUUUCUGUUUAGUUAUCGCAAAACAGUGUUCGAGAAUAAUCUUCUCGUAUUUCAUAACAGUAAAUAUAUUUUUUAAAUUAGGAGAAAAUUACUAUUAAUUGUUUUUAAGAAACAUGUCUUAUAUUUCUAUAAAUGCAUUUUUUUUAAUUUAAUAAAAUAUGAUAUUUUCAUUCUGACUUUAAAAUUUUAAUAUAAUUUAAUUUGACUUAAAGUUAAAUAAAAUUAAAUGUCAUUAAGUAAGUGUUUGAUAAAUCAAUUUAAUAAUUUAAAAUAAUAAAUAUUAAUUUUAUCAAAUAUCUCUUAAAUUUCUAAAUUAAUUUAUUUUUAUUGGUGUCUAAAUGUUAUUAAAUGUUAAGUUAUUUAUUUUUAUUCAUAUUUAAACGUGGAUUGUUGUUUUUACCUAUGUUAUAAUUAUUAUAUUGAUUUUUGAUUUUAAAAUUAUUAAUCCUAAAAUAAUAAUAAUUUAACAUAUUUUCAAAUAUCCUAAAAUAUCAAAAUUUAUUUUUAUGAUAAAAAAAAUGAUAAUCAUUAAUUUGUUAAGAUAUUAUAGGUUACCAAAUGAUAGUAAAAUCAGUUACUCUACUGAUUGAUUUUUAGAUUAAAUUCUUAAACUUGAUCUAAUAAGUGACAUCAUAAUAAGUCGGUAUUUCCUUGAAUUUGAGAUAGGUGGUAAUUUGUUUUACUUUUGUUGGAUUUAUUUUUUUUUAUUAAUUUCUUAUCCAAAUUAAAUUAUUUUAGGGGGUGUUUGGUAUGAUAACGGGUAAUGAGAAUAGACGUCUCAUUCCUUCCCACCUUCAUUCUCAUGUUUAACAAAUUUUAUGAAAGUAUAAAUAGUAUAAAAAAAAUUAUGGAAAAAGUGGAUUUUGAUUCACUAAUAUGAAAAUAUAGUUUAAAAAAAACUUCAACUUUUUUAAAUUAUUAUUGUCUUCAUUUAUUUAAAAUACAUGCAUUUUUUAAUAAGUCAUAUAAUUAUUCCCCAAAAUAUUAUUUUACUUAUCAUGUUAUCAAUAAAAAUUGACAACUAAACUCCUUCAAGUAAAUAUUUUUAUUCAUUUUAGAUAUGUUUAUUAUUAUUAUUAUUAUUAUUAUUAGUAAUCGUCUUAACUCCAUUUUUAAUCCAUAUGGAAUUAUGGAUGACCUGAUAUCUUGGUUUUUUAUUUUUAGUAACCAUGAGAAAAUGUGAACAUAGAAAAAGUGCAAACGCAAGACAGGAAUUGGAAACAAUUUGCACAAACUACUAAAGUGACAACAAAUUAUUAGAGUUAUAAACAAAAGGGGAAUGUUACAUAACAUGCUAAGACAAUUUUUUUUUUCUUUCUUUUCAAACAUUCUUGGCUACCAAUAAUCACAUCAAGAAUUUUACAUGAAAUUUUUUUAAAAACAACAAUAUAUUACCUUUUAUUCGUAUAUAAAUCUUUUGAAUUGAAGGUAAAGUUUAAAAACAAAUAAAAUGUUCAAAUAACUAGAAUCCUUGAAAUUAACCUCAACUUGCUAUAGUGGAAAAAAUUCUAAAGAGAUCAAUGAGAAAAACCAUAGACAUUAUUCUCAAUAAAACUUAAAUUCAUCUACAGUUUACCAAGAUUCACUACUUCUAAUGUCAACACUCUUCAAACUACCUCACUUUUGCUAUGUGAUGUUUGUUUAUGAAAAAAAAAGUUUCAAAUAAUAAUAAUAAAACAUAUCUAAAAUGAAGAAAAAUAUUUAAGUAUCUAAAAUUUGUCAAUUGGUGUCGAUGACAUUAUAAUUUAUAAGUAAAAUGGGCAUUUUAGGAAAUAAUUAUUUGACUUAUUAAAUAAUGUAUUUCAAAUUAUUUUUAAAUAGAUGAAAAUAACAAUAAUUUAAAAAACUUGGGGUUAUUUUUUUUCAUAUAUUUUCAUAUUAGUGAAUCAAAAUUCAUUUUUCCCACAAAUUAUGCCGAUAUAAAUCAAAUCACACUUAUGAGUAGCACUUCAAUUUUUCGCAAGUUGGUGAUAUUUUGUUUCAUAAGAAAAUAUAAAAUAAUAUAAAAUGACUAUUUUACCCUUCGAUUUUAUUCAUUGGAUGUCUCAUCAUCUCAUAACAAGUCCAUUUUUUUAAUCUUAUUAUUUAGUAACAAAAAACCUUUCAAAGUUUAUUUUUUAAAAUGAAAAAAAAAAACUAUGUGUAAGAGUAUUAUUGUCAAUUUAUUUAUUUUCCAUUAUCAUUCUUAUUAUUACCAAAUAUUAAAAUAAAAACAAAUAAUCAUUCUUAUCUUGAAUUCUUUAAUUAAAAUACUAAAAAUAAAAAAAACAUACUUUAAUCAUAUUCAAUUAUAAAAAUGAUAAAUUAAAAACCAAAAGUUCUAAAAGUAUCUUAAACCAUAACUCAUAAAAUAAGUGGCUAAAAAUAUUUAUAAAUUUAAAAAAAAUAUAAAAAAAAAAAUGUAAAGACUACAAAUAUAAAAAUAAAUGUAAAGACUACAAAUAUAAAAAUAAAGGGAUAAUUUAAAAUAAAAUAAAACAUUUUAGAAAAUAAAUUUAGAUACGUGGACCGUCAGAUACAGCUAACUCGAAUCAAUCAGGUCAACAGUAGCAUCCAAUGAAAUCAUUAGCACAACUGUAACAUCUAAAAUCAUAAAUAAAUUAGAGCACAUAACAUGGAUCCGUCGAAUGGUUUUAAAAAUGAAAAAUAAAGGGAAACGAUCACCUCACAUGAAAAUCUUUCUUAUCUAAUAAUCUAAUAUUCAUUAUUAAAAUAUUUAAUUUUCUUAUUUCUUGAUAUUUAAACAUUACAUAAACUCAAUUAAAUAUCAAUGACAAUCAACUAAAAAAACAAAAUUAAUAAGAAGAUAAAAAUAAAUCAAAAUACUAAAAUAGUAUAAGAUAUUAGUUUCACUUUAUAUUUCAACGUUUCAUUAUUAAUAUAUAAAAAUAAGCUAGGAGUGGAAAAAUAGAUAUAAAAAUAAAAAUAAAAAUAAAUAAAAAUAGUAAAAAAUAUUAUAUAUUAAUAUCAUAAAUAAUAGUAUCUGAGUUAUAAGUCAAAUUGAUUUAUGGUCGAGAAUUGAAUGGUAUAAAGUCUAAUAAAGGAUAACACAACUUUGAAAAUAGUAUAAGAUAUUAGUUUCGUUUUUUAUUUCAUCGUUACAUUAAUAAUAUAUGAAAAUAUAUUAAGUCAAGUGAAAUAAAAAGAUGUAAAAGUAAAAAUAAAAAUAAAUAAAAAUAGUAAAAAAUAUUAUACAAUAAUAUCAUAAAUAAUAAUAUAUGAGUUAUAAUUCAAAUUAAUUCAUGAUCGAGAAUUGAAUGAUAUAAAGUCUAAUUAAGUACAACACAAUUUUGAAAAACAUUUUAUAACAAUAGUUUUCAUUUAUUGCAUUUACAUUGAAAAAAUAAUGAAAAUAAUUAAAUUAUAUUUAUUAAUUAUUUUUUUCGUACCAAAAAAUUUAUAUUUAUUUAACUAUAAAAAAAUAGUUUUCAUUAUUAUUAUUUUUUUCUUCCCAUAAUACCUUUUAACAGCCGAACAUAAGUGGUGGGCUAGAUAAUUAGAGAAGAACAUCAUAAAGGGUGAAACCAUUAAUUUAAUUCAAAUGAAAUGUGAGGCCCUGAGGGCCUAAGGCCCAGAUGAUUCUAUUAAUUUGGUCGUUUUAUUUUAAUAAUAAUAUAAGUUGUAUAACAAGAUUUCAAAUUGUAUAAGAAAUACGAUACGAGACUUUAGAGGAUAGAACCCCGUUGAUAUAUAUUGUUGUCGCUUUCCUCCACGUGGAUUGUGGAACUCGAAUUAUGUCGCUUUUGUUAACCAUGGUUAACACCUGGAGUACGUCUAACCACACCUUGAAGUAGAUCGUGACGCGUGUCAGAUAUCAACGGCCAAGAUCCAAAGCAAGAAGAUAUUCGAGAAGCAAUGACUCUAUUUAUCACCGCGUCCCACGCCUAACCCUAACGUCAGUCCUGAGUCGUCCUUAUCCUUGACGUGAAUUCACUGAGUCUGCGAUGGCAAACCCUAAGGUCUUCUUUGACAUGUCCGUCGGCGGUGUGCCUGCCGGUCGGAUCGUGAUGGAGCUUUUCGCCGACACCACUCCCCGCACUGCUGAAAACUUCCGAGCACUCUGCACCGGCGAGAAGGGAACCGGCCGCAGCGGAAAGCCUCUGCACUACAAGGGAUCUAAGUUCCACCGGGUCAUCCCCGGGUUCAUGUGCCAGGGAGGCGAUUUCACCGCCGGAAACGGUACUGGUGGCGAAUCGAUCUAUGGAUCUAAGUUCGCCGACGAGAACUUCAUCCACAAGCACACUGGCCCGGGAAUACUAUCCAUGGCAAACGCUGGUCCCGGAACCAAUGGAUCACAGUUUUUCAUCUGUACAGCCAAGACCUCGUGGCUUGAUGGUAAGCACGUGGUGUUUGGGAAGGUGAUUGAAGGGCUGGAUGUGGUGAAAGCCAUUGAGAAGGUCGGAUCUUCGUCUGGAUCCACCGCCAAGGCUGUUGUGGUCAGUGACUGCGGGCAGCUUAGUUGAAUGACUCCUGUGAUCUAUGAGCCUCGAUCUUUACUUUGUCAUGUUAGGGUUUGGUGCUUUUUAUCUUUUUUUUUUUCAUCUUUUCUUGAAGGGUAUGCAGUGAUUUCGGAUCGCUUGUUCCGUGAAGAGAGGGAAGGAGAGGCUUUAUUUGAAUAAGCUAGGUUUUGUUACCUACCUACCGUCUUGUUAUGCUAUGAUAUGAACCUUCUAUCACUCUAAAAAGUGUUUUUAUCCUCUGUUUGGCUGUCGGUGAAAACGAAGGAAAUCACAUUCCUUUUUAAGACGAGCUCCAUUUUCACUCACUAGCAUGUCUUUCCUCUCAAACUUUUGCCUGGAUCCAAAUCAUAUGCCACCAAUCUCAAACGUUGACAUUAGAAGACAGUAUACAAUUUAGCAAUAUACAUGUAUCACUAGACACAUGACAAUAUGGAGAUCCAUAAAGUAAAAUUAGCGGAAUCUGAUUUAUAUAUGGGAAAGAUGUUCAACUCGUUGGAUGAAGACAAAACAACGAAAAUUUUCGGUACUUCCUAAAAAGGGAUAAUCGCCGAUACAUUGGACUUGGAGGGUUUUUUAUAUUUUUAUAACAAAAACAGGAAAAUGAAAUUAGUGAAUUAGCCUAUUGGUUGAUAAAAUACGUUCUGGAAACGAUAUUAUGUUAUUUUAUCGAGGACGGAAAAAUGAUCGGAAAAACUACCUGGGCGGUUUCAAACUGCAAUUUUUCAUCAUCUAAAAAAAAAUAAAAGAGCAGAUAUUUCAUGGAUAAGAAUGAAAAUGUUUUCCGAGUUUGUUUGGUAGAAUAAAUAAAUUGGUGUUAAUAAAAAAUCGAUAAUGAGAAGUUUUCUUCAUCUAUUUUACAAAAAAUAAAACAUUAAAAUAAUCAGUCUAUAAAGUUGAAAAAAAUUCAUUUUCUUUAUCCUAUUUAUCAAAUGUUUUGGCAAUUCCUGUUGGGAAGAUGAAUAAAAAAAAAAAAAUUGGGACAAUUGUGUUUUGGAUCAAGACCCAAAAAUUAAGUUUUGAUCUAUAUAAGUUCAUCAUUUAAGCCUAAGACUCAAAUGGAGUAUGAAAAUUAAGAAAAAUGAUAUGAAUUUUUUAUAUUUUCGAAAAUAACCUUUUCUUAUAAUAAAAAAAAAUUAAUUUAAAUUUUAUUCAUUUUGUAAAUCUCAAUAAAAUUCAAUAUAAUUUGGUAAUUUGGAAAAACAUGCUCACUUUUCCAAAAAAAUAAAAAUAAAUUAUUAUUUAAAAAUCAAACUUAUUAGAAUGUAUAUAUUUUAAAAAUUGUGUAUAUAAAAAAUAAAUUAAAAUAUGCCUUUUUUUUAAUGAUAUAUUUUUAGAAUAUAUUUUAAAAAAAUCAAUUUUUUAAAAAUAAUAAAUUUUUUGAAUAAUUAUUAAAAAAUAUUUAAGAUCAAACAGUUUAUCAAAUAUUAUGGUAAGAAAAUAGUUUUAAAUGAUAUCUUGAUCUCUUUAUAUUUUAUAUCCUUCUUGUCAAUUAUAUAAUUUAUAUGAAUCAAAAUUUAAUUUUUAGAUCCAACUAGGUUCAAAACACAAUAAUCCUAAAAAAAAUUCGAAUAAAAAAUUUGAAUAAGAGCUUUGAAUUUUUGUUCAUCCCCUAUUAAUAUCUCGAGUUUAUAGUGAUAACUUGGUAUGUUCACUGUGAACUAAAAUAUGUCUAUGAUCAACUAAUUGACGGGCUCAAUGAAUAGUCAAAGCCAUACAUGUUUCAAGGAAUUGGACUAGAACUUAACAUGUUGCCCUUUUGGCUUUUCAGGCAAUACAAACAUGGUUAAUUAAUUGACGUUCCGUAAGAUUGGUGUUUUGUAAGACCAUAGUGAAAACACCAUUUUUGUUUUUCUUCGCCAUUUUUUUCUUCCACAUAAAAAUUUACUUUUCCAAAUAAUAUCCAUAGUCAAUGUUUAUUAAUUUAAAAAGCCAAUCUUAAACUAAAAAAUAAAGUCAAUUAUCUUUUGAAAUUCAUAAAUCAAAACUAAUCUAGAAUCAAUGCUUAAAUUUUGGAGUUUAUUAAGGAGUUUAUAAAUUUUAAAAAUAAUUUAAAAUUUAAAAAAGAUCAAAUAGAAGAUUUAUGACUUUAGUUUAUUUAUCCUAGUAGUUUUUUAUUAUUAGGAUUUGUCCACAUAUUUUAAAGAACUAUAAAGAUAAUUGAAUAAUCUAUUUGAUCUUUAAAUAUAAUUUAAGGUUGACAUUAUUUUAAAAAGAUAUAAAAUAAAAUAAAAUAAAGAAAAGUGUGAAAGGUAUAGAAAUAAUUUUUAUAAUUUAUUCUUUUAUUUUUAGAUUAUUUAAUUAAAAAGGUUAUUGAAAAUCUAAAUUUAAAAAUAGAUAAUUUUUUUUAAAUAAAAAUAAUAUUUUAUUUUAAUAAAAAAUGUUUAUGUUAAUAAUGAAAUAGACUACAUUUAUAAAUUUAAAAAUUAUUUCAUCCUUUUAAUCAAUUAAUUUUUAUUUUUUAAAAAUUUUCGGCCAUCAAAUCAUAUAUUCAUAUCAUAAGAAGGAAUUUUAUUUGCCUCGUUUAGGGGUAACCAAAGUAUCUUGGAAAGUUUUGUCUCGUCAAAUAAUAACCAGAGGGACGUUGAUGGAUGCAAAACCGCCCUUGAAAAUUGACAGAAACAAUGGCGGUCCAAAGUUAUCUAAAUGUGCCGACCACUUUUUGUUUUUAUUUUUUUGUGCCUUUUGCAAUCACCAGAGAAUAGUCUGCCUGCUCUUUCAUUUUCCUCGACAGCUUCGACCCAUUGUUCAAAACUAUCUCAAAUUCCUUUUUUUAGCCGAUUUGUGAUUUUCCCAAGUAUAAGAUCGUGAAAUUUCUUAUAAAUAUAUAGAUAUAUUUAAUAAUUAUAUAAUUUAUUUAUUUUUAUAUGAAAUAUUUUAUAUAGGAAGGGAUGUUGAGUGAAAGAGAACAUCUUUUUUUUAGCAUAAUCACAGCGGGAGAUUUGAAAGCAACGUAAUGUUUUAAACAAUAAUCAAGAUUUGUCUUAUUUUCUUAAUACAUGUUUUAUUAAUUAAUAUAUGCUUUAUGCUAUUUCUAUUAUUUUUCUUCUCGUGGAAGGCCUACAGGAAAUGGAAUGCUUUAUAGCAUGUUGCUUGUCAUGAAAACAACUAUUUUUUUAAAUAUUUUUAAAUGUAUUUUGAAAAUAAAUUUUUUAUAUUUAAUUAUUUUCCAUAUUUAUAUAAUUAUUUAUUAAAAUCAUUCUAAAAAAUAAAAAUAAUUAAAAAAUAUUAUCGAUAAAUCUCAUUUUUUUAAUAGAAAAUGGUUUUAUAUUAUUAAAAAAACGAAAGAUGUUUGAAAAUAAAAAAUAAAAAAUAGUUUUAUAUUAUUCAAAAUAAAAAAUAUGAUAUUUUUAGAUGAUAUAAAAAUUAAUCAUUAAAAAAUGAUUAAAAAUAAAGAAUAAAAAUUAUUUUUAAAAUAUAUUUAAAAUUAUAAAAAGUAAAAGAAGAAUAUUUUAAAUUAUGAUACAAUUUUUUUUUUAAAACGGUUUUUUAAAGUAUUUUCUAAAUAAAGUUUAAUUGUUUUAUUUUCAAUCAUUAUUGUAAAAUUAAUAUUUAAAACAACAUUAGAAAUAAUUAAAAUAUAUUUUAAAAAUUCCUAUUUUUUUUUUUAUGAAAAUAAUUAACAACCAAACUCAGCCGGAUCCUCCGCGAAGGAGCACAAACUGGAAAAAUAGAAGUAAAAGACAAAAUGAGGGCCGUAAGAUUAAGGGAGGGCAACGUGAAUUGCGGCUAGGAUGAAGUCAGGCAUCGCAUUGGGAGUCAACGAAACACAUCUGCUAAGCUGCACCGAAUAUGUGGUGCCACUGUACUACUGAAGACUGUGUGAAUGCCCCCAAAGAUCAAUAGAUGCUCCAUGCUUGGCCGGCUUCAUUGGCGCCCAUUUCGUAGUCGAACGUUGAAAUAUCUUUAAGUAUCGACCACCUCCACCCAAUCCCCAUCUUACACGUUCCUACCUUCACGACCCUACAUCAACUACUUUCUGAUAAACUCGUAGACUUUUUUUUUUUUUUCUUUAAAUAAAUAAAUAAAUAAAUUCUAUUUGGUUUUGCCUAUGACCUUUUCAAUUCAAAAUUACGUAACAAAGCAGUUCUCAUCUACACGAGCCCUGACAAGUCUGCAGUCUGACCUUACGUAAAUGCUCCUUCCUAGAAAUUACUAUAAUGCCCCUUAUCCUUCCUCGCACCCUACCUGCUUUCCCAUCUCAGCUUUUGAACAAUUCCAUUCUUUGAUCUAAAUUUAAGGAUGACUUAAUUUAUCUUGUAGGUGGCUCACCGGUGGAGGAUGAGGACUCAUUAAAGAAAAGUAAACCGGUUGACCAUUCAAAACGUAUUACUCGGGGAACAUUCGACUAAGCAAAAGUUGGGCAAUUUUCCUAAACAAGAACAUGAAUUUUAAAAGCUGCCGUCACCUAAUUUGAUAAAUAAGUUCCAUUCAACCUUUAAGUCAAGUAAUAAGAGCUUUUUUUAAUUUUUUUUAUACAUUCUACUCGACUGAGCAAAAGUUGGGCAAUUUUCCUAAACAAGAAAAUGAAUUUUAAAAGCUGCCGCCACCUAAUUUGAUAAAUAAGUUCCAUUCAACCUUUAAGUCAAGUAAUAAGAGCUUUUUUUAAAUUAUUUUUAUAUGGCUUAUUUUUUAAAUCAACUAUGAUUGGAAAGAGCUUUUUAAUAUAAAAUCAACUAUUAUUAGAAACAUAUUUAAGCACUUAAAAAUUAAAAAUUAAGUCAACUUGACCAUAAAGAUAAAAAUUGAUUUUCUAGAUGUUGCAUCUUAGAUGAUUCAAAUAAAGGAUGAACUUAUAAAAAAUUUAUAAAAUAUGUUGGUAGAAUUUUAAGAAAAUAUAUAAAAAUUUUAAAAAUUAGAACCUCUCAAUUAAAUUAUUGAUUUUAUUGAAAUAUAUUUUAUUAUAUUUAAAUGAAAAUUAAAUUGUUUAAAUAUUAAAAAUAAUAUUUUAUAUAAAAUAUUUCAUUUGAAAAUUUGUUUUAAAGUGAUAAUGUUUUUGUUAAUAGUUUUGCUGUUAGUUUAUUAUUAUUAUUUUAUUUUUAGUUGUUUAUCAAUAACAAUUAAAAAGAUAAUUUAAUAAGUAGGAUACAAAAUAUAAAAAUGAAUUAUUGAUUUUUUUUUAAAAAAUUUAAAAAUAAAAUAAAAUUGAUGAGUAUGAUUUUUUUUUCAAUAAAUAAUAAAUAAUAAAAAUUUAAAAGUAAAUCAUUUAAAGUUUAAAAGUAAAUUAUAUUUAUAUUAAAAACAAACAUAAGCAAAAAUCAUUAAUUUUCGCAACAAUGGGCAGAUCGACUCACCCAGGGUCUCGUUUCCACCUCCGUCGACAUCUGAAAAUUCGCCCGAAAUUUCAAUUGAGAAUUGUGGAAACUUCCGUCCUGGAUUGAAUGUGCAAAGAAAUGUAAGCAUGUAAUUGAUGGGCACUCCGUAUUAGUGUAAUAUAGAAAAUUGACUUUCGGGGAGUAGAGGCCCGCCUUAAAGGAUUAAAUAAUGUUAAUCUUUACUAAUUGAAAAUGAUUUUUCUGGAAACCGGAGAAGGGCAAUAAUGUAAAACGGUCAUUCUAAGUCUGACAAAUUAACGUCACACACCAAACUUCAGACGGCGGGCGGGACACCCGCUCUCUUUCUCUCUCUUACAAAGUCUAAACUCACACACAAGAGACAGAAUACAUCAAAAACGGUCAUCGUCUCUGCUCCCUGUUUGGCUCCUUCCAUUAAACUCAGUCAAAUCCUUCUGCUUGCACACGGGAUUUUCGUGUUUCAAAUAACGCGUUUUUUCCCCCUGCUUUUCUUCUCUAGACUAGAUUUUUCUAUUUGGAUCAACACAUUCUCCAAUCGAUCUCAUUCUUGACUCAUCCUCAUUCUCGUCGUCUCUCACAUUCUAUUUCACUGUAAUUAAUCCGAUUCUUUUCUUCCUCUUUCUAGGGUUUCAUCUGAAUUCGAUUUGGUGUCUGGUAUGCUCUGAGCUCUGUCUUCGUAAUUAGGGGAUCAUCUAAUCACAAAUGGUUUGUAUUAUCUAAGGGUUUGGAUGCUGGGAAAAUGGAGGAAAACAAAAAGAAACUUCCAGUCUCAUGGUCCUUGUUCUUAUGGUUUGCCAACCGAGAACUCGGCUAAGCCAAAUAGUUGUAUUGUGCUGAGUUGAGUGGAGUUACUUUUUUAUCGUCUUCUUGUUGUUUUGGUUUUAUAGAACCGAAAAUAUGAAGAAUAUAUAUAUAUAUAUAUAUAAAUCUUGAAUUCUUGUGCUACAGUUUCUUGGUAACCAAAUGAAUCCUAAGUUGACAAUGUUUUUCUUGAUUUUCCUGUUAGGUGCGAAUUCGGAAAUUUUUUGGAAUAUCAUUGGAAGAAAAAUGGGAGCGGUAUGCUCAGGCGGGAUGAUGAAGCGAAAUUCGGGAAAAAAUUUAGGGUUUUCUGGGAAGCUGAAGAAAGUGAAGAGUUUGCGUAAGCAAAAAGAGGAUUCUUAUUCAUAUUCUAAUCCUAAUGUGGAUGGUUUUGAGAGGACGCCACAGAUGUACGAUCCUGGAGAGCUAUCGUUUUCGAUUUCACGAGAACUAAAACCUUCAACGCCUGCAAGAACAGGGGCAAGCAAGGUAUGAUCUACUCAACAUGUGUUAGUUUUUUGUUGUAAUUCUUAGUGAUUAAUAGAAUUAACUGUCGCAACUGAUCUUCAGAAACGAAGGAAAUAGGAUAGAAGUCGAAUCCAUCCGCAUAAUAUUAAACUGCAUAUAAAGUUUGUGUUGUAACAAUUAUUAGUUUAAUUUCCCUUUUGCAAUUUUAGCACACAAGAAAGAGAAGAGAAGGUCAGGGUUCACAUGUGUGUGUUGAUGUUCGUAAGCAGUGCAUGACUAACAUAUGAAUCGAGGAAUAAAAUGAAGAACCCUGCUGUUAAGGAGAGAAGGAAAAAAUCAUGGUUUAUGUCCCAAUGAAUAAUGGUAGAAAGAUGCUAGGAGAGUCAAAUACAUGUCUGAAGACAGUUUUUGGGCAUUUGGCAACUUGGUAGAUGAACCCCAAAGUAGUACGAUGUGCUUUAUAGCAUGGAUAGAACUGAUACUUAUUACAGUGGAAUGAAUGGACAAAAUGGCAUACAAGCAGUUCUUUUUAAAUCAGGGGUGAUACUGUACCCCCUAUUAUAAUUUGAUCAAUGGAUUAAUUUUCUGAGCGAUGCUUGUUGCAUCAGUGCAUGAUGCAUUUUGAUGAUAAUUCAAGUUUCCCCUCUCAUUGACAUCAUUUUAUCUCCACAACCAUGGUGAUGUCUCUCUUUCCCGCCAAAUCUUGCCAGAGUCGGUGGAGGAUUCUACAUAGCAGGGCUGACGGUCAUUACUUUCUUUCUUUCUUUUAUUUAUUUAUUUUUUAUUUUUAGAUAGGCAAAUAUAGAUAUAUGAAUCAGAACCAAGUAAAAAAAUCAGGGCUGACAAUGAUUCCUUUGGUGGUUGAAACGUUGGACCAUAAGCUGGUGUGUAUUGCUGAUUCUCUUUCCUAGAAUUUGAAAGGAGAGGUGGCUUUUCCUGCACAUACAAGAGAGAAGAAUUCUAUUCAGACAGGGGGCAAAAAUCAUGAUCUAUUUAUCUCACAUGAUUUGCGAUGGAUGAGCUUACAUUAUUAGGGACACUGGAUCACUAUUACUGAAUUCAAAUUCAUCUAAAGCUUGCACAUGCAUAUUGUGAGAUGUAUCUAUAGACUCAGUAAUCUGAGACAACCAUGCAAUAGUAAACCCACUUGUUAAGCAGCAUGAACUGCAUAUCAUUCAUUAAGGAGAAACUAUGACAAAAUUCAGUUGUGAUUUUUUCUUCACAGAAAAAUGUGUUUUGUUGUGGGCAGCUCAAGGUUUUAAUAAAAUGUUUAUACCUAUAAAUAUAUAUCCAGGUUAAAUGCUAUCAUGUUCCUUAGCUUAGUGUGGGGAUUCAGUUCUUUUGGCUAUCCAUUGAGACUAUCUAUUUGUCUAGGAGGUAAAUAAGUAGUUGAAUAAGUGAAGUUUAUAUAUAUAUAUAUAUAUAUAUAUAUAUAUAUAUAUAUAUAUAUAUAUAUAACCCUUCGUAGGCUAUGAUAUUUUGGCUUAACCACUUUCCUCUUUUCCUAUGAAUUCAAUUAUAUCAUUUGUUUCUUUGUUUUUUAGGUGCCCCAGAAGACCUCAUUUCUGGGAAGGGCUGGUGUUGUGGGCCUAGAGAAGGCAGUGGAAGUCUUGGAUACACUGGGAAGUAGCAUGUCAAGUUUGAAUCCCCACAGUGGGUUUGUAUCUGGCAUUGCUUCCAGAGGAAAUAAAAUAUCUAUAUUGGCAUUUGAAGUAGCUAAUACAAUAGCCAAAGGUGCAAACCUACAGCAUUCUCUUUCUGAAGAGAAUAUCCAGUUUCUGAAAAAGGAGAUUUUACAUUCAGAAGGAGUGCAACAAUUAGUUUCCACAGAUAUGACAGAGUUGCUAAGUAUUGCUGCUGCUGACAAAAGGUUGUUGCUUGUUAGAGAGAAUAGUUUGCUUUGCUUUGUCUUUUGUGCCUAGUGCAAUAUGAAUUAAUUGUAGCAUUUUUCAUCUUUUAAUAUCUCACUUGUUUCUUUUAUUAUUAUUUGGUUUAUUUGUAGAGAGGAAUUUGAUGUUUUCUCACGGGAAGUAAUUAGAUUUGGAGAUUUAUGUAAGGAUCCACAAUGGCACAACCUGGAUCGAUAUUUUUCAAAGUGAGUAGAUACUUAUAGUGCAUUCAAGUUAAGUUACUGAUGUGCUGACAAUGCAAACAGAUUUAUUGAAUGAUUAUAAAAUUUCAGGUUAGAUACAGAUGAUCCCAGCCAUAAACAACUUAGAGAAGAGAUAGAAGUGACAGUUCAAGAGUUAACUACUUUGGCUCAGCAUACUUCUGUAAGUUUAGUUUUGUAUUGGUAAUAUUUUUUUGCAUUUCUUGUUAUGUGUGCUACAUAUGGUAUUAUUAAUAUUUUGGGAAAUGAUACUUCAUUUGUUUGGAAGGAAAUCAUAUUAAAUUUUGGUUUAAAAAAGCACAGUUGAUUUCUUUCUGAAAUGAUAUUCGUUCUAUAUCAUGUCUAUUUUAUGUGCCUGAUUCAUUUGAAUGAACUUGUGUGAUUGAAAAAAUACUUUGAUCAUUAGAUUCAAAGUUUGAUUAUGUUAUUGUGGUCACUGAAUAGUUUAAAGAUUUAGAUUCUAUGAUCAUCGAUCAACUUAUGGGAUUAUUCCAAGCCCAUGUGGUAUUUAGUUAUCUCCACCUCUAAUUUUGAGCACUUGACUAUAUCCUAAAUUUUGAUCCCUUUUUUUCUUUGUAAAAUUCUUUGUCCCUCUUUGCCUUCAUUUGGUUUUACCAUCUUACCCUUCUUGUAGAUAAGAUAUGGGCACUUCUGAGCCUGGCUGGAUAUUGAUCUCAGGUCCAGAUGCUUUCUUUCACUUUUUGCUAUAUCACUUCUGCCUCUUUAGUUUGGGUUAUUAGGCUAUUGUUGACAUGAAAGGCAUAUCCACCAUAUGUCUAGCACUGGUUUCAACACUUAUAAGCCUCUAUAUCUCCUGACAAUCUGACUCAGAUUUUGUGAAUCUUAUCUGUGUGAUAUGAGAAUUAAAAAUAAGCUUAUUAUUAUCUUUCUAGAUUUAUAAAUAAUGGUCAAUAAAUAUUUUUUGCAUUAUGGCAAUGUGUUUUGAGUUGAAUAAUAGAGGCCUUGCUAUGCUUCUGUUGCAUAGUCUUUUCCAUGUAAAUACAGUUGUUAUGGUUAUUUAAUGUAAGUCUUCCCUGUUAAUAUGUUUAUGGUAUCGAACAUGCAGGUACAUGAAUGGAUUUUGUAGACACAUUCACAAACUCAAGCAAACAUAGCACUGUUUCAUAUCGGUCUUUGUUUUAGGCAAUUGAUUUGUCCUGCACUCCAUCUCUGUGUGUGCAUGUCUCUAAGGCUUUAUUUGAUUGUGUAUUCACCUUCUUUCUUCCAUAGGGGAAAGCUGACCCGUGUUUAUUUUGCUUUUGAAAUGACUUUAAUUCCACAUGUGCUAACCAAAUGUAUAUAAAAGUGUAAUUUGGUGGGAUAAUCUUUUAGUUUUUUGCUUCCCUGGAUGAUUUUUUAUUUUUUAUUUUUGGGUUUCUUGAUUUAAUAGAAUCAUGGAAUGAUGAUUUGAAUUAGAUGCAUUCCCAAAAUUUUUGCUCUUCUGCAGAGAACCUGUUAUUCUGUUUUUUUAUAAGUAUACUUGACUAAUGCUGCAAGGUUCAUUUUGCCUUCAUCUCUUAUGCCUUAGUAAGGGUUAGUUAUGUUCUACUUUGAGAUGCUAAUUCCUUCUGCAUUUAUAGGAAUUAUAUCAUGAGCUGAAUGCUGUAGACCGAUUUGAACAAGAUUAUCGACGGAAGCUUGAGGAAGUGGAGUCCUUGCAUCUUCCUCGUAGAGGUUAGACAUGGAUGAUCUUUUUCUCCUAUUUUAGUUUUAUUAGAUGUGUAAGUAGGAUUUUCUUUAUUUCCUUUUCUUUGUUCCUUUUGGGAAGGGUAUUGGGUUAAGUUUGUCUCAACUUUUAUUUUUACUUCUUAACUUUUCACCUCUAAAUGCAUAUGCUGUUUAGUAUGUUAUCUAGAUAUUGAGUCUCUUCUCUUAGCUAUUUAAAGGGGAUCUUGUAUAUGACUAGGUUUACGUAUCCCCUGAAAAUAAGAAGGAAGAAAAAUAAUUGCUAUAUAAUUUAUUAUUGCUUGUUGAUUUAAAGGUUGGCUAAUUAUUUGUAGAAGUUGUUAUGGCGUGCAAUCUGAUUUAUGAAUAGAGGGUUAGGACUGAAAGAUUUAGUUUUAGAUUGCAAAAAGGAUACCUGGCUAAGCAUAACAAUUGCUAGAGAAAAUUAAGAUAAUAUGAAUAUGUUGGAAUAAUGAUAUACAUUGUGGGCCCAAAUUCUAACAACUUAAGUUUUUAGGAAAAUUGGUUGUCCAACAUUGGUAUCAAAGCCAUGUUUGCUUCUUCUUUCUUUCUUUUUUUUUUUCUUCAGGUUUAGAGGGCGUUUGUUUUUUUUUGCUUUUUGUUGAAAGCAAUUUGCUUUUAGACUUUGAGUUGUUUGUUUUUUUUACUUUUUCAUGACUUAUUAUAAACUUUUUGCUGAAUAGAAAAAACCAAAACAUUUGACUUUUUUUAAAUGGAAAAAGUAACAUAUUGGUUUUUUUUUACUUUUUAAUGUUUAAUAGAAAUAAAAUAUUUAAAAAAAAAACAACCUAAUACUUAACACUAUUAAAUAUUAAAGUUCUAUUUAGAAUUAAGUAAAAAAAACAAAUACCACCUUAGUCUUUUUGACCUUAGUUGCCAAAAUCUUGCUUAUUCCUUGGUUGGCCUUCACUGUUGAAGCCCUUGAAAAUCUAGUUUUUCCCUUCCUUUAUUUUUCAUCUUGAAAAUCCAGUUUUUUCAUUCUUUAAUUUUUUUUCCCUUAUUUAGCCUUCAACCUUUUUUUUUUCUCUCCCCAACCUUGUUUGAGGCAUCGUUUGAAAAAUGUUUGAAGUCUCUCAAACUGAUCCCUCAGAAAAAAGACCCAUAUCAGUGAAUGGUGCUGAAAAUUCGAUUACAAUGUCUUGGUUGCAGAAUUCUAUGUAGCCAUGGAGUGGUAAAACUCAUCAUUUUUUCUCACCAACAAUAAAGAUAUGGGAUGCUAUUGCUUAGAUACAUUUCAGCAUGGUGUCACAACCUUAUUUAGCAGGAGUUCAUGAGUUUGAACUUCACAUGUUUAUUUCCCCAAUUUAUUGAGCCACAUACAAGCCCAAAGGAGGCUGUCCUUGAUUUGUUUUGCCUAUGGGUUUGAUUGUCUCUCUACAUGUGGGUAUGAGGCUGGGGAGGGUGUUGGAGAACAUGGUAUACAUUGUGGGUCCAAAUCUUAAUAACUUUAAGCUUUUAGGAAAAUUGGUUCUUUAACACAAUACCCCUUGUUAGAUGAGUAUCUUGGUAUAUUCAUUCUUAAAUUGGAGUUUUUCUUUCAAGGGGGAAUUUGUGUUGAAAUAGCUAUUACUUGGUGAGAUUGCUUGGCAAGGAAACUAGCCCAGGAAUGCUUUCUUUGCCAUAAGUUGGACUGUUGUUGGUGUGCGUUGCAUUAGAUGAUUAAAUGAAACAUAAUCCAUUCAAUAGUUUGGAGGUUAUAAUAGACAAUAUUGCUGAAUUUCAUUUGAAGAGAAAUAUUAUUGUAGGGGAUUCACAGAAGGAUAAUUGUCAGAGCAACUGCACUUUUCAUGUUUGAAGUUUUAAGAUGGCAUAAUGGGAAUGUUGGGUGCCAUGUGAAAUGCAACUUUGUACUAUAGCUUCUAAUUUUGGAGGUGUGUAUUUGUCUUGCCUGUAAAUUGAGAUGCCUCUAUAUUGAGAAGCUUGAUAUUUCAUUGCUAGUUGCCACAGUAAUGAUUAUAUGAUAUUCUACUACGAACUAUUUAUCAAUAUAAAACUGACCAUUCCUUGAGUUCUUUCUAAAGUUCUAUUUUUGGGAUGGCAAUGGGGUAGUUUAAUGGGGCAUUCGCUGUACCACAAUUGGUUCAGAUUUGGGAUUGCUACAAUUCAUUUUGGAACAUAUUUAGGUUGGGAUUUCAAAUAUAAACUGAGGUUUAGUCCUCCAUGUAUAUUCCAUGUUGAUCCAUUGUGGACCUUGUUGUCUUUCUGAAUUAACCUCCCCUGUUUUUUGCAUGUUGACCAAAUUCAAAUGAUGUGUAUUUGAUUUUCCUGCAUUCCUGAAUAGUUGCUUCUGAUCAUUGUCCAUUGCAUCAAAGGUAAAAUAAAAAAAAAUCAGAGGUGCAAGAUUACUGGAACAUCACAUUCUGGUUAAUGGGUGCACUUGUAUUCUCCCUUGCUCUCUAUGCAAACACAUGCUUCCUUCUUUCUCUUUCGAGUAUUCUUCUCUCAUAUGCAAACUUUUAGAUGUAUAUUGAAGAGUCAAUGUUUUGGUCCUCAAUGUGGAUUAAUGAGGGUAUUUACGACAAUUGCAGUUCAACUAAUUCAAACUUAUUUUCAUGUCAUGAUGAUGUAUCUUAGAUUAAACAAUUGGAAAUCAAGGACUUUGCCUGUUGAAACAAACAAUUGGAAAUCAAGAAUAAGCACAUUCAAUGCAGUUUAUUGGAACAAUGAGAUGAAUCUAUUGGUUCAUGUUAAACUUAAGUUAUCAGAAGUUCAAGAGUUUCAGAGAUCAUGGAGGAGAGAGAGAGGGCUAGAGAGAGAAAGAUCGCGAGAGAGGGAGAGAGCAGUGGCGAUGAGGGUUCGACGGAAAUCGCAGAAGGCGCGAGCCAUGCGAGGCCUGGGAAUAAUGUCAAGAGGGGUGGUUUCGGCGUGGAAUCGAAAAGAUUCGAGGUCGAGGUGGAGGAGAGGAGAGGUAGAUUGCAUGCCACGAUUGUGGAGAGGAAAGGCGGGAUCUCGUCGUGGGUCAGACUAGGUCCGGUGAGCCUCGGGAUAGUCUUUGAAUGUUUGAAUCUGAGUAUUGAGGACUGAAGAAUGGGUAGGUGGGCAAGAGAGUGGAAGGAAAACGGGAGGAUGUACUCUCUGUCGCGCGAUUACAACAGAGGGGGCUGCUUUCUUCGUUUGGGAGUUGCGGAUUUGGAGGGAAAGAGGUUUAGUGUCUAUAUUCCUAGAGGAAGAGGAGAAAGGGGCGGAUGGGCUUCAAUGGCGGACACACUGAGGAGUUUGGGCUGCGAAGAAAGUUGCCCUAAUAACCAGAAGGCAGUUGUGUCCCGGACGAAGCCGAACAUGGUGAAGUCUUAUGUGGAGGCGACCAAAGUGGCGAAGGAAAAGGAGAGAGCAGCAGCUAGGGAGAUAUUACUACGGAAGAGGUGGGAAGGAAUUUAUCCAAACUUGGCCACUGUGUUGUUGGGACUUGGAAUCACAAUGCAGCGAAGGGUGAUGAUCUCAGAGGGUGGGGAUCCCAGCUAGCGAGAAUAUGGAGGUUAAAAGGGAGUUUAGGGCUGGCUAAAAUGGAGAGGGGAAAGGUGUUAAUGGAGUUUGAGAUCCCGGCAGAGGCGGAGCAAGUCUCAAAGAUGGGAAGCAUUUUGCUUGGGAGGGUAGAUCUCCGUUUAGAGAAGUGGAAUCCGGAGACGGGAUGUUUGAAGGAAGGGGAAAGGAGCAAUGAAGCGUGGGUGCGGGUAGUUGGGCUGCCUGUCUCCAUGUGGGAACGGGAUAUUCUGAGGAAAAUUGGGGAUGCGUGUGGGGGCUUCAUUGCGAUUGAUCAUCAAACGGAAAAAAUGGAGGAUUUACAGUGGGCACGCCUCUUGGUGAAGCGGAACGGUGGGUCUCCUCCCAGCUUAGUGGAGGUUUGGAUUGAUGGGUUUUGUUACGAGGUUACCUUAUGGUGGGAAAUCAGGCCAGUCAUCAAAGUUCCGGCGACUGGAAAGAGAGGGAAGACCGUCGUGACAGAUGCGAAGGAAGGGGGUGACGCGAGUGCACGCGCGGGGGGGCGCGUGUUGGGGGCGAUGGAGGGUUCAAGGCUCGAGGACUGCCUGAUGACUGAGGAUGGGACGCAGAGUCAGGUCAGUGGGUCGGGUCAGAACUCGGAUCCAAAUCGGAACGAAGACGGGUUGGGUUUGUUAGGCCAAGCAUCAUCUUCUAGAGGGCCUAAAGCUUACACUUCCACUGGGCCAAGCUCGCUUGGGCUGGUGUUUUAUGGGAAUGGAAAUGGGAAGCCCAAGGAAAAGGCCGGGCCUUUGGGUUUACUUAAAGGGGAUGGGCUUGCUUUUCGNNNNNNNNNNNNNNNNNNNNNNNNNNNNNNNNNNNNNNNNNNNNNNNNNNNNNNNNNNNNNNNNNNNNNNNNNNNNNNNNNNNNNNNNNNNNNNNNNNNNNNNNNNNNNNNNNNNNNNNNNNNNNNNNNNNNNNNNNNNNNNNNNNNNNNNNNNNNNNNNNNNNNNNNNNNNNNNNNNNNNNNNNNNNNNNNNNNNNNNNNNNNNNNNNNNNNNNNNNNNNNNNNNNNNNNNNNNNNNNNNNNNNNNNNNNNNNNNNNNNNNNNNNNNNNNNNNNNNNNNNNNNNNNNNNNNNNNNNNNNNNNNNNNNNNNNNNNNNNNNNNNNNNNNNNNNNNNNNNNNNNNNNNNNNNNNNNNNNNNNNNNNNNNNNNNNNNNNNNNNNNNNNNNNNNNNNNNNNNNNNNNNNNNNNNNNNNNNNNNNNNNNNNNNNNNNNNNNNNNNNNNNNNNNNNNNNNNNNNNNNNNNNNNNNNNNNNNNNNNNNNNNNNNNNNNNNNNNNNNNNNNNNNNNNNNNNNNNNNNNNNNNNNNNNNNNNNNNNNNNNNNNNNNNNNNNNNNNNNNNNNNNNNNNNNNNNNNNNNNNNNNNNNNNNNNNNNNNNNNNNNNNNNNNNNNNNNNNNNNNNNNNNNNNNNNNNNNNNNNNNNNNNNNNNNNNNNNNNNNNNNNNNNNNNNNNNNNNNNNNNNNNNNNNNNNNNNNNNNNNNNNNNNNNNNNNNNNNNNNNNNNNNNNNNNNNNNNNNNNNNNNNNNNNNNNNNNNNNNNNNNNNNNNNNNNNNNNNNNNNNNNNNNNNNNNNNNNNNNNNNNNNNNNNNNNNNNNNNNNNNNNNNNNNNNNNNNNNNNNNNNNNNNNNNNNNNNNNNNNNNNNNNNNNNNNNNNNNNNNNNNNNNNNNNNNNNNNNNNNNNNNNNNNNNNNNNNNNNNNNNNNNNNNNNNNNNNNNNNNNNNNNNNNNNNNNNGGGGGGGGGGGGUGGCUUCCUGGAGUGGGGGAAGGAAUAACCAAGCUUGGGCUAGACUGGACCGGUUUUUAGUGACCCAAGAUUGGCUGGACUGCUUCAGUGGGGUCCUUCAGUGCAGGCUGCCCAGACCCGUUUCUGACCAUUUCCCCAUCUUACUGAAAGGUGGGGGGGUAAGAAAGGGCCCCUCCCCUUUUAGGUUUGAAAACAUGUGGCUCAAAGUUGAGGGGUUUAAGGACCUUCUUCGGGGGUGGUGGCAGGAGGCGGGGGGGAGGGGGAGGGCUAGCUUCAGAGUGGCUUCAAAAUUGAAGUUUCUGAAGGAUAAAAUUAAAUCUUGGAACAGGGAAGUGUUUGGGAGGGUGGAAGUCAACAAAAAUCUAGCCUUGCAACAAGUAGAAUUUUGGGAUAGGGUGGAGAGUGGCAGGAGCCUAACUGAAAGGGAGUCAGAGCUGAAAACUGAGGCUAAGGAGGCCUUCAAAAAUUGGGUUCUUUUGGAAGAAACGCAUUGGAGACAAUCUUCUAGGGAGUUGUGGCUGAGGGAAGGUGAUAAGAAUACUGGUUUCUUUCAUCGGAUGGCUAAUGCUCAUAGAAGAAAUAACUCCAUGGAUAAGAUUAAAAUCAAUGGGAGGUGGUUGGAGGAGGAGAGGGAGGUGAGAGAGGGGGUUGUGAAUGCCUUUCAGCAGUUGUUGUCAGAGGAUCAAUCAUGGAAAUCUGAUAUUGAAGGGCUGCAGCUCAAAAGCUUAAACCAUGCUGAAGCUGAAGGUUUGGAGCAGCCCUUUACUGAGGCAGAGAUUCAUUUGGCUCUAAUGGGUAUGAAUGGUGAUAAGGCUCCAGGCCCGGAUGGGUUCACAGUGGCCUUUUGGCAGUUCUGUUGGGAGUUCGUGAAGGAGGAAAUUGUGGACGUGUUCAAGGAGUUUUAUGAAGACAAGUCGUUUGCUAAGAGCCUCAACUCUACUUUUCUGGUCCUCAUUCCUAAGAAAGGGGGGGUUGAGGAUUUGGGGGAUUUCAGACCAAUCAGCUUGCUUGGGGGUGUGUAUAAGCUCUUGGCCAAAGUGCUGUCCAAUAGAAUUAAGGAGGUGCUAGACAAGGUGGUUUCGUCGGACCAAAAUGCCUUUGUGAAGGGAAGACAGAUUUUAGAUGCUUCACUCAUAGCCAAUGAGGUAAUUGACUAUUGGCUUAAACGCAAGGAGAAAGGGGUGAUAUGUAAACUGGACAUUGAAAAAGCCUAUAAUAGUAUUAAUUGGAACUUCCUCAUGAAGGUCAUGCGGAAGAUGGGCUUUGGGGACCGGUGGUUGAAAUGGAUUUGGUGGUGUAUUUCAACGGCAAGCUUUUCUAUUCUGGUNNNNNNNNNNNNNNNNNNNNNNNNNNNNNNNNNNNNNNNNNNNNNNNNNNNNNNNNNNNNNNNNNNNNNNNNNNNNNNNNNNNNNNNNNNNNNNNNNNNNAUAGAAGAAAUAACUUCCAUGGAUAAGAUUAAAUCAAUGGAAGUGGUUGAGGAGGAGAGGGAGGUGAGAGAAGGGAUUGUGAAUGCCUUUCAGCAGUUGUUGUCAGAGGAUCAAUCAUGGAAAUCUGAUAUAGAAGGGCUGCAGCUCAAAAGUUUAAACCAUGCUGAAGCUGAAGGUCUGGAGCAGCCCUUUACUGAGGCAGAGAUUCAUUUGGCUCUGAUGGGUAUGAAUGGCGAUAAGGCCCCAGGCCCGGAUGGGUUCACAGUGGCCUUUUGGCAGUUCUGUUGGGAGUUCGUGAAGGAGGAAAUUGUGGACGUGUUCAAAGAGUUCUAUGAAGACAAGUCGUUUGCUAAGAGCCUCAACUCUACUUUUCUGGUCCUCAUUCCUAAGAAAGGGGGGGCUGAGGAUUUGGGGGAUUUCAGACCAAUCAGCUUGCUUGGGGGUGUGUAUAAGCUCUUGGCCAAAGUGCUGUCCAAUAGAAUUAAGGGGGUGCUAGACAAGGUGGUUUCGCCGGACCAAAAUGCCUUUGUGAAGGGAAGACAGAUUUUAGAUGCUUCACUCAUAGCCAAUGAGGUAAUUGACUAUUGGCUUAAACGCAAGGAGAAAGGGGUGAUAUGUAAACUGGACAUUGAAAAAGCCUAUGAUAGUAUCAAUUGGAACUUCCUCAUGAAGGUCAUGCGGAAGAUGGGCUUUGGGGACCGGUGGUUGAAAUGGAUUUGGUGGUGUAUUUCAACGGCAAGCUUUUCUAUUCUGGUCAAUGGGGUGCCGGCUGGUUAUUUCUCCAACUCUAGGGGGUUACGCCAAGGUGAUCCACUCUCCCCCUACCUUUUUGUGCUGGGCAUGGAAGUUCUAAGCGCUAUGUUGAGAAGGGCUGUUGAUGGGGGCUUCACUUCAGGUUGUAGCAUCCAAGGGAGGGGGGGAAUGGAGAUAAAUGUGUCCCAUUUACUUUUUGCUGAUGAUACGAUUAUUUUUUGUGAAGCAAGGCAAGAUCACAUUACUUACCUAAGCUGGAUUUUGGUAUGGUUUGAGGCAGCCUCUGGUCUUAGAAUAAAUCUUGCUAAAAGUGAAGUAAUCCCGGUUGGAGAGGUGGAAGACAUUGAGAUGUUGGCGGUGGAGUUAGGGUGUAAAGUGGGGACCCUCCCUUCGGUUUAUUUGGGGCUGCCUUUGGGAGCCAAGCACAAGGCCACGACUAUGUGGGAUGGGGUUGAAGCAAGAAUGAGAAGAAGGCUUGCACUGUGGAAAAGACAAUAUUUGUCAAAGGGUGGGAGGAUUACCCUCAUCAAAAGCACUUUGGCCAGCAUGCCGAUUUACCAAUUGUCUCUUUUUCGCAUGCCUAAGCUGGUUGUUAAAAGGCUUGAAAAGCUUCAAAGGGACUUUCUUUGGGGAGGGGGAAGUUUGGAAAGAAAGAUUCAUCUCAUCAACUGGGCGGUGGUGUGUACCCAUAAGGAGAGUGGGGGCCUAGGUAUUCGGAAAAUUGAUUUCUUGAAUAAGGCUCUAUUGGGGAAAUGGAUUUGGCGGUUCGCCAUUGAGGAAGACUUCUUCUGGAGAAAGGUGGUUGGGGUGAAGUAUGGUCGGUUGGGUUUUGGUUGGAGAACAAAGGAGGCCCGCGGAACGUUUGGGGUGGGGGUUUGGAGGGAUAUCUUGAAGGAGUCGUCUUGGUGUUGGGAUAAUAUUGAAUUCAAAGUGGGAAAGGGGACUAAGGUGAGUUUCUGGACUGACCAUUGGUGUGGUAAUGAGGAGCUGGCCCAAACUUUUCCCCAGUUGUUUGAAUUGGCAGUCCAAAGGAACGCCUCGGUAAAUGAGAUGUGGGAUUCUAGCCUCGGCCAAGGAGGUUGGAAUAUAAGACUCUCCAGAAACCUUAAUGAUUGGGAGCUGGACGCUUUAGGAGAGCUGCUGCAGUUGUUAAGGGAUUUGAGGACUUCUCUUGAAGAGGAUGCAGUGAUUUGGAAAGGAGAGAGUCAUGGCCUCUUUCGGAUUAAAGAUGCCUACAAGCUUUUGGCAGGGUCUAAUGUCAUUAGCUUCCCGAAAAAGGGCAUUUGGGUGGAUAAGGUUCCAACCAAAGUUGCUUUUUUUGCUUGGGAGGCGUCUUGGGAGAAAGUUUUAACUUUGGACAUGCUUCAAAGAAGGGGAUGGCAGUUUCCUAACAGGUGUUUUUUAUGUGGUUGUGAAGAGGAAAAUGUAAAUCAUAUACUUUUACACUGUACAGUUGUAAGGGCUCUCUGGGAGAUUGUCUUGGCCUUGUUUGGGGCUAAUUGGGUGUUCCCAGAGAAAGUCAAAGAUAUGCUAGUCAGUUGGAGGGGCCCUUUUGUGGGGAGAAAGAGGAAAAGGAUUUGGACUUCCAUUCCGUUGUGUAUUUUUUGGACGGUUUGGAAGGAGAGAAAUAGAUUAGCGUUUAGGGGGGGCUCUCUAGCUAUUCAGAAGCUAAAGAAUUCUUUUGUUUGUAACUUGUGGAGUUGGGCUAGGGUGUAUAUGGGAGAGGAGUCCUCUUCGCUUAUAGGUUUUUUGGAAUGGCUCGCUACUCCUUAAGGGGUGGUGAGUGUUGGUUGUUGGAUUGGCUACUGUGUAUACGUCCUGUAUGCCUUGUGGCUUUUUGCCUCUUUUAAUAUAUUUGUGCGCACUUAUCAAAAAAAAAAAAAGUUAUCAGAAGUUCAUAGAAGAGUUUGAAGUGCAAAUGCUUUCACGUAAUCUGGGUUUUCAUGUUAGAUUUCUGGUUGAGUUUUGGUAGUUAUAGCUCAUGUUUAUAACUAUUUGAUUAACCAGUAGAAUGCUAAUUAAUCUUUAAUACUCUCCACUGUUGUAACUUGUAAGUUAUAGUACAGGUUAUUUGCUAUUGCACCACCAUGUCUCUUUCCUCCUGCAGGGUACCAUAACGGCUGGAGUUGAUACUUACCUAACUUUUAUGGAGAGUGGUUGUAAUUUCUAUAAUGGGAAUGUUAUGCCAUUUUUUGAUAGAAAUGAAGGUUGUACUUAAUUGAUUGAGUCCUCACUGAAAAAAAAAGGAAAAGAAAAUUGUGAUGUUUUUCAUUUCAAGGAAAAUAAUUUUUAUUAUUCUGCACCUCCUGUUUAUUGUAAGCUUUGAAGAGACCUUAUUUUCCCUUUACAAUCACGCUGUUAUUCUAGUACUGUUUAUUUUAAACUUUUAUCAAUGGUUUGGUGAUGUUCACUUCUGAUUGUUAACACUACUUGUCUGCUUUUUGCUUAGCCAGAAGGGUGGAGUAUUCAAAUUAACAGGUCAUUUUUUUUUUGUAAUUGUAGGAGAGAGCCUCACAAUGUUACACAGUGAGCUAAAACAUCAAAGAAAGCUUGUAAGGAGCUUGAAAAAGAAAUCGCUUUGGUCUAGAAACUUGGAGGAGGUAUGUGAUUAUGAAUCAUUUUUUUACAAUUUCGGAAAAGAUAAAUCAUGAUUCUGAAGUCUUUUAUAAGGAAUUCAUUCUCAAGUUGCUUCUAUCUCAUUUUCUUAAAGAUUUGUUUCAAUUUAUGAACCUUACUUGUAAUACUUGGUUAAAAUUUCAUUGUGUCUGUGAAGUGGAUACUAUACUGCCUUUGCUGAUAUGAAUAGCAAUUCUAUGAAUGUAUAGGGCAUUCAAUCUCAGAUAUUACUUAUAAGAUCUAGGUCAUAAAGGACCUCAUUGACUAUAAUUGUUAUUACCUUCUUCAGGACAGAUUAGAAUGUUUUUGUUGGUCAACAAUUAACAUCACUUUUUUCAACAACGUUUUGCUCAUUGUAGAUUGUGGAGAAGCUUGUUGAUGUUGCUACAUUCAUACAUCAAGAGAUCUUGGAGGCAUUUAGAAGUAAUGGUAUGACCUCAGCAUCUUAAAGAAAUUAAUGAUUCAUUACAUGAAUGAUAUGGAUACUAAGUUUAGUACAUGUGUGUGUGUCUUGUAUCAAUUUAUUAUUCAUUUUUUACUUUUCUCUGCUCUAAAAGAGUUAGUAAAGUAUGAUUAUAACUUAAUUUAUCACUCGGUCAAUUACAAGGUUUCUCGUCUAUGUCUUAAUGAAAGUACCAUGAAAAGGGCAUGGUUACAUAUGCUUAAUCACAAUCAUUGUUUAUGUGUUCUGGGCCCAAAUUCUAGCAGUUUAAACUUUUAGGAAAGUUGGUAGCUUAACAUGGUACUAGAGCUAGAGGGCUUGAGUUUGAGUCUCCACUCUCCUACUGCUAUUGUCUCUCUGCUACUGCUCCCAUCUAUUUAUCGACUGCUACUACUGUUGUAUCUAUUUAUCUACCAUUUGAUGGGCCCAAAACCUGGGUAUGGGGCACAUCAAACCUAGGUGUUGGUUUUGUGAAGGAGGAUGUUAACCCAACACACAUUAUGGUUCCUUAAAUAGGAGGUACUCAACCACAUGCUAUCCUCUCCACUUGUGGCUAUGGGGCAUGUGAAGGAGGCUGUUAACUUGAUACAUGUUAUGUUCCCAAAUCCUGACAAUGUGGCAUGACAAACCUAAUUUAAACAGGAGUACUCCACCACAUGUUAUCCUUACCUAGUUUUGCAACACAAAACUUGUUCCAAUCAUGCAUGAUUAUUUACAGAAGUGAUGAUUUCUAAGGCACAGUAUUCCUUUUUUUUAUUAUUUCAGAAGUAUUAGUGAAUAUUUACAAGUUUCACUAGUUAUCCAUGAAUCUCCCAAGAAUUAUAAUAUUUUGCAGAAUUGGGGCUCUAAACAAAACUUGCUAUUACUUUCUGUUGCAUAAUGUGGAGCCUCCUUUAAUACUGAAUUUUGAAGAUUUCUGUAAGGAGAGUUGCUUUGGGAGGCUCACAAUAUUGCACUCAGUACAGUUGAGAAGUUUUCUUCAAAACUGGCCAUGUGACUGGUUUAUUGUACCAUUUACCAACUAAAUACAGAUGUCAGAGGGAAAUAUGGAUCUGUUUUAAUUAUGUGAAUAUUACCUUGGUAAAUGAAUGCACUUGUUCCUAAACAAUCUUUUCUAGUAGUGCUUUGGUCAUGCUAAUGCAACAACCUUGGUAUUUAAAUGUGAAUAUGCUCUUCUGUUUCAAACUUCAUUGUUUAGAGGACACAAGAACAUGGGUAUUUCAAGUUUUGAUGACUUUUUCUGGUUUUUGGUUUUGAAAAGCAUGAUUAGAUGAUUAUUGUCUUACUUUGUUGUUCAUUUAUGGUAGGUUUGACAUUGACUAUCAAGGAACCUAGCAAUUGCCCUCAAAGACUGGGUGCAGCUGGUCUUUCAUUACACUAUGCCAACAUUAUCAAUCAGAUGGAUAACAUAGUAAGUUUAAAUCAGUCUUUGCUUCAGUAUUUAUUUCAUUUUUUGGGUGAUGGUUUUAUGAAAAAAUGGAUGUUGAUUUUUGAAUGGAAAUUCAUGUGUUGUUAGGCAUCUCGGCCUACCUCCCUUCCUCCCAAUAUGAGGGACACAUUAUAUCAUGGGUUGCCGGCCAGUGUUAAGACAGCACUGCGCUCCCAGUUGCAAGCAGUUGAUGCCAAGGAAGAGGUAUAUUAUCUAAAGUAGUUGAUUUUCUCUUCAUGCGUACUUGCAUAGACAUUUUCAAUUACCACUUAAAGUACAUUCUGCUGACAUUAUUUAUUUAUUUAUUUUUCAAAAUCAUGGAACUUGAACUUUCUUUUUGUUAUCCUUGGGGUAAUGCGUAUGCAGUAGGAUGCAACUUAAUCCUGGUGUAGCCCAACAAUAAGCCAACCUGACUACCUUGGGUUCAUCCGAUUAUGUUCUAGAACAAACUUGAUCCUGUCCUGGGUUGCAACAAAUAUAACUUGACUGUUGUUUGGUUUGGUUUGGUUCUGUUGAUCUUGUAGGCAAAAAUAACCUAACCCUAGAACCGAUCAUAGUGUUCUCUUACAAGGGCGUGAUCAUGAGAUAACUCUUUGUAUCCAUUGAAACUUUGGACCUAAAUAUGGUGUGCCAUCACUCACCUGAUCACGAGCAAUGACUUGUGCACUGUAAUAGAAGGGUGGGGAGGAGUUACUUGUAUAGAAGAGAGGAUGGAAAAUCUGUUUUUUUAGCAGGCAAGCUUGUGUAGACGGGAGAACUUUAGCUUCUAUGGAAAAGUCGGAGGCUUUCCCUGUUGGUUGCUUGUGACCAAAUUCACUUUUCUUCUUGUCUACAUAAUUAGGGAAGCCUCUUCCCUUCUCCCCUUCAUCGAUCAAACGAGAACAGCUUGUGAAAGUGAUUGGGCUGGCUCUAAUUGUGGAACUUCCAUUUUUCCUAUAUCUUUUGAACGUUAAAAUAAUUUAAUCUAAUUUGAUAUGCUCAUGGGCAUACGGAAGCCAUAACCACCUAACCAAGCUGAUCUUUGUUGGUUUGGUUCCUAGGCUUGCUCUUAGAUUGCUUUUUUGGAAACUGGCCUAUUUCAAUUCAGUUUCAGGGUUGGAAUAUUGACCAUAAAUUACUCAACCUAAGCCCUAGUUGCCACCCUCAUAUGUGCACUGUGCUGUUUGUUGUUUUAACUUCUAAAUCACUUCAUAUUGUCCUUUUAUGCAGCUUACAAUUCCUCAAAUCAAAGCUGAAAUGGAAAAAACUCUCCAAUGGCUUGUUCCAGUAGUAACAAAUACAACCAAGUAGGUUGACAUGUGUAAUGCUUUACCCUACUGCAGUAGAUUUCUGUUGUGAAGACAACAGAAGCUUUUCAUCUGUAUUUUUUUACACAAAAAAAUAUUUUCCUGCUCUGCAUUUACAUUUCCUUAUUUUUCUAUGGCAAUUGGAAACAGAGCACACCAAGGUUUUGGGUGGGUUGGAGAGUGGGCAAAUACUGGGUUAGUGAAGACUUCUCUCUCUUCUCAUGUUCUGUAUUUUCUAUCAAGUAUCUUCUAUGAAGAUGAAUGUGUCACUACAAAAGGUGUAUACUGUUCUUGUUUGACAGGAAUGAGUUUGGCAAGAAGACAACUACACAAAAUAACCUGAUCCGCCUCCAGACGUUAUAUCAUGCAGAUAAGCAGAAGAUAGACCAAUACAUCCUUGAAUUAGUAAUAUGGCUUCAUCGUCUUAUCAACCUAGUAAGACAUAGAGAUCAUGGUUUCAAGCCUCUGUCUACUCGGUCCCCCCCCACUCAUAAUGGGCUGGUUUUUCACUCCAAGAUGGAGCGGUUCCCAUCGCUUGAUUAUGUUACCAAAGUCCAUGGGGUUCAACUUUCUCAAGAGGAUAGAAAUUUGUUGGGAGAAGUUUGCUGGAGAAGGUUGGUUCCUGGAAAAAGCAAAAGUCAGGAAUUUGCCAUGACAAAGAAGAAA
rnacentral:lncRNA from 1 species